rnacentral:rRNA from 1 species
GAAUUUUUCGCAAUGGGGGAAACCCUGACGAAGCAACGCCGCGUGGGUGAUGAAGUCUCUUGGGACGUAAAACCCUUUCGACGGGGAAGAAACCGCAAGGUUGACGGUACCCGUAGAAGAAGCCCCGGCUAACUCCUUGCCACCAGCCGCGGUAAUACGGGGGGGGCAAGCGUUGUUCGGAAUUACUGGGCGUAAAGGGCGCGUAGGCGGUUUGCUAAGUUGAAUGUGAAAACUCGGGGCUUAACCCAGAGCCUGCAUUCAAUACUGGCAGGCUAGAGUUCUGGAGGGGAUAGCGGAAUUCCUGGUGUAGCGGUGAAAUGCGUAGAUAUCAGGAGGAACACCGGUGGCGAAGGCGGCUAUCUGGACAGAGUCUGACGCUGAGGCGCGAAAGCUAGGGGAGCAAACAGG